UACGUAGGGUGCAAGCGUUGUCCGGAAUUAUUGGGCGUAAAGAGCUCGUAGGCGGUUUGUCGCGUCGAAUGUGAAAACCUGCAGCUUAACUGUGGGCUUGCGGUCGAUACGGGCAUCACUGGAGUUCGGCAGGGGAGACUGGAAUUCCUGGUGUAGCGGUGAAAUGCGCAGAUAUCAGGAGGAACACCGGUGGCGAAGGCGGGACUCUGGGCCGAUACUGACGCUGAGGAGCGAAAGCGUGGGGAGCAAACAGG
rnacentral:rRNA from 1 species